UAACUUGAGUUAUAUAAAAUUGAGAUCUACAAUGGUAAAACACAGCCAAAGCUUCUGGUAAUUCCUUGGAGCAGCAGCAAAGUACUGGUUGGAUUGGGUUGGAUUAUUGCAGGAGGAAAAGUGACAGAUGCCCACCUGAACAGGGCACAAGAGGCUGAGCAAGUUCCAGGUUGCCCCAGAUCUCCCAAAGGAAAAAAUCCAUGCCAGGAAAAAAAGUCCAAAUGUGUGUUCAAAUCAAAAGGGGAAAAAAGGCUUUUUUCCUCUUUAGACGACAGAUACAGCUUUACUUUAUGGCAAUUGGACAGACAGAGUUGCUUCUGUUCAGCACAGCCCUGCUCUUCUCAGGAGCCCACGAG